GCCUGGCAUGUUUUGGCAGGACUUUACCUGGUUUGCGUAAUCUACAUUGACUUCUAGUUUCAACAAGAAUUGUUUACAUGCAUUUAAUUUUAGCUCUUGGGCUAUAUAACAUGUCAUUGUUCUUUUUACUUAUCUCCUCCCCUUACUUUUGGAAACAGGACAGGCAUCUUCAAUACUGGCUGUUCCCGUUUGGUGUGCUCUUAGAUUGAUUUUAGCUUGCUCUUCAGCUUUCUUAUUUUCCAGCCAUAUUUCCUGUAUAAGAAAAUAGAGACUAUGUUGCCAGAGAGAGAAAUGGAGAUUGGUGGGGACAUUAUUUAAUCAUUCAGAGAACUGAUAUUCUGGUUUGAAAGGAAAUUAAAGCAAGGUAUUUGGAUUAAGUGAUACUAUUUGAUUUUCUUAUAUUCAAUUUACAGGACAGUGCAUUCAGCUUUUAAUUAGUUUUACCUGCUUCUCCUACAGUGAAUCUAAUAAACACACAUAUAUUGGGGCUUAC
rnacentral:lncRNA from 1 species